rnacentral:rRNA from 1 species
GACGAACGCUGGCGGCGUGCUUAACACAUGCCAGUCGAACGGAAAGGCCCUGCUUUCGUGGGGUGCUCGAGUGGCGAACGGGUGAGUAACACGUGAGUAACCUGCCCUUGACUUUGGGAUAACUUCAGGCAACUGGGGCUAAUACCGGAUAGGAGCUCCUGCUGCAUGGUGGGGGUUGGAAAGCUUCGGCGGUUGGGGAUGGACUCGCGGCUUAUCAGCUUGUUGGUGGGGUAGUGGCUUACCCAGGCAUUGACGGGUAGCCGGCCUGAGAGGGUGACCGGCCACAUUGGGACUGAGAGACGGCCCAGAGUCCUACGGGAGGCAGCAGUGGGGAAUAUUGCACAAUGGGCGGAAGCCUGAUGCAGCAACGCCGCGUGCGGGAUGACGGCCUUCGGGUUGUAAACCGCUUUCGCCUGUGACGAAGCGUGAGUGACGGUAAUGGGUAAAGAAGCACCGGCUAACUACGUG